AGAGUUUGAUCCUGGCUCAGAUUGAACGCUGGCGGUAUGCUUUACACAUGCAAGUCGAACGGCAGCAUAGGUGCUUGCACCUGAUGGCGAGUGGCGAACGGGUGAGUAAUGCAUCGGAACGUGCCCAGUCGUGGGGGAUAACGCAGCGAAAGCUGUGCUAAUACCGCAUACGAUCUAUGGAUGAAAGCGGGGGACCUUCGGGCCUCGCGCGAUUGGAGCGGCCGAUGUUAGAUUAGGUAGUUGGUGGGGUAAAGGCUCACCAAGCCGACGAUCUAUAGCUGGUCUGAGAGGACGACCAGCCACACUGGAACUGAGACACGGUCCAGACUCCUACGGGAGGCAGCAGUGGGGAAUUUUGGACAAUGGGCGAAAGCCUGAUCCAGCAAUACCGCGUGCAGGAAGAAGGCCUUCGGGUUGUAAACUGCUUUUGUACGGAACGAAACGGCGCGCUCUAAUAAAGUGCGCUAAUGACGGUACCGUAAGAAUAAGCACCGGCUAACUACGUGCCAGCAGCCGCGGUAAUACGUAGGGUGCAAGCGUUAAUCGGAAUUACUGGGCGUAAAGCGUGCGCAGGCGGUUUUGUAAGACAGGCGUGAAAUCCCCGGGCUCAACCUGGGAAUUGCGCUUGUGACUGCAAGGCUAGAGUACGGUAGAGGGGGGUAGAAUUCCGCGUGUAGCAGUGAAAUGCGUAGAUAUGCGGAGGAACACCGAUGGCGAAGGCAGCCCCCUGGACCUGUACUGACGCUCAUGCACGAAAGCGUGGGGAGCAAACAGGAUUAGAUACCCUGGUAGUCCACGCCCUAAACGAUGUCAA
rnacentral:rRNA from 1 species